AGCACACCGCCCCAACGCGAAAAGUUCACCUACAUCGACCAACCAGGGAACCAUCUCUGUUCGUGGGAGAGCAAGCCCGUUCGGCGGGAAGCCCGAAGCGAUUAGCGUGGUGCCCACCUACAGAUAGUAGGGGUUGGACUUCACCACUGGGGCGGUGUGCCG
rnacentral:other from 1 species